AUGGCUCUGUUUCGGAUCCACGUCCGUUUUCGAAGCCCCUCUCGGCAGCAAAUCGCAAGGAUGGGGAAUGAAUUCUUUUUUAACUUAAGAUUCUCUUAUUGCGCAUGCUGAUUCCGAAUCUGCUUGCAUGUUGUAGAGAAGGCCAUGCAGACGAAGACAAACCAAGAUUCCUAUUGUAUUUUUUCUUCAAUGCUGCAUGAACAGAAUUCUAACUUCUACCCCAUUCACGGAUAUUAAUUGGGAUAAUUCUCCACAGCAACAAAAUUAAAUUGUUGCCAAUUAAGAGCAUCCAUCAACAGCUAUAGUUUUUUUUAGUGGUGGAAAACUUAAUUGUAUUGUAACAUUCUUGAAGUCUCUAUAAUACAUUUCCUUAGAAGCAAUUUUUUAUCUACUUGCAUUGAUUAUGAAAACACCUAU